CUAUGUCUAAAUCAUUAAGACAUGGCGGAAGGAG
rnacentral:ncRNA from 1 species